GAUGAACGCUAGCUACAGGCUUAACACAUGCAAGUCGAGGGGCAGCAUUUUUAUAGCAAUAUAAAAGAUGGCGACCGGCGCACGGGUGAGUAACACGUAUCCAACCUGCCGAUAACUCGGGGAUAACCCUUCGAAAGAAGGCCUAAUACCCGAUGGCAUAUCCCUUCCGCCUGGUUGGGAUAUUAAAGAACUUCGGUUAUCGAUGGGGAUGCGUUCCAUUAGCUUGUUGGCGGGGUAACGGCCCACCAAGGCUUCGAUGGAUAGGGGUUCUGAGAGGAAGGUCCCCCACAUUGGAACUGAGACACGGUCCAAACUCCUACGGGAGGCAGCAGUGAGGAAUAUUGGUCAAUGGACGAGAGUCUGAACCAGCCAAGUAGCGUGAAGGAUGAAGGUCCUAUGGAUUGUAAACUUCUUUUAUACGGGAAUAAAGUGCAGUAUGCAUACUGUUUUGUAUGUACCGUAUGAAUAAGGAUCGGCUAACUCCGUGCCAGCAGCCGCGGUAAUACGGAGGAUCCGAGCGUUAUCCGGAUUUAUUGGGUUUAAAGGGAGCGUAGGCGGAUGCUUAAGUCAGUUGUGAAAGUUUGCGGCUCAACCGUAAAAUUGCAGUUGAUACUGGGCGUCUUGA
rnacentral:rRNA from 1 species